rnacentral:rRNA from 1 species
UGGGGAAUAUUGCACAAUGGGGGAAACCCUGAUGCAGCGACGCCGCGUGAGCGAAGAAGGUUUUCGAAUCGUAAAGCUCUGUCCUAUGAGAAGAUAAUGACGGUAUCAUAGGAGGAAGCCCCGGCUAAAUACGUGCCAGCAGCCGCGGUAAUACGUAUGUUGCGAGCGUUAUCCGGAAUUAUUGGGCUUAAAGGGCAUCUAGGCGGUAAGACAAGUUGAAGGUGAAAACCUGUGGCUCAACCAUAGGCUUGCCUACAAAACUGUUGAACUAGAGUACUGGAAAGGUGGGUGGAACUACACGAGUAGAGGUGAAAUUCGUAGAUAUGUGUAGGAAUGCCGAUGAUGAAGAUAACUCACUGGACAGAAACUGACGCUGAAGUGCGAAAGCUAGGGGAGCAAACAGG